ACAUGGAAUUUAUUAAAAGGAAAAUAUGAUAGAAGCUAGUACUCUUUCAAAGCUCACUGGACUAACCACAAAAAUUCAUCCAAUUGCCUGGAUUGGAGUAGUAAACCUCGAUAAAUGGAUAAUUGGAAUCAAAUUUACAAAGGAUAGGAGGAUAGGUUGUAGGCAAGAAAUGCCAUAAGUUAAGCACUAUAUCACUGAAUCAAAGACUAUAAACCAAUUUAAACAUAGGAGGGAUAUUAAGCCAUCCUUUGAAUGAUCGAUCAUUCAUUCUUGAAGAGUUUCUUCC
rnacentral:lncRNA from 1 species